ensembl:lncRNA novel transcript
UGGUAGCCAAAACUGAAUUUAUACCCAAGACACUUUUCUUUUCAAUGAUUCAAUGAUCUCAUACAUGUAGUCUAGCCUUUCUUUUUCUCUUACCAUUGUGCCUAAUAUUGAAAAAUCUCAGAAAAUUUGACUGUUGAUAUCAUGUGAAAUAUCCCCACAAUAUUGCUUAUCAUAGCAGGUGGCAUAUUUAAGAGGGAAAUACACGCCACAUAGAGGGAACAGUUUUGAGUCACAAAUUGAAGUGAUGGCUCCCAGUUUUUUCCCUUGGAAGGAGUACCUGGACACACUGCUGUUUUAAGUAUCAAGAGUUCUUCAGAAUAUUUGUAUUUGUGCCCUUUGUGGGCCCAGGAAGUGCAAGCAGAAGGUUGCCUGACUUCGUAGCACAAUACCCAGUGCUUUCUAGUGUACAUGCAAAUUUGGUCCAUAUAGUUUAAGCCUAAUGGAGGAGUUUAAUCAGAACUCCCUGUUCUAAUAGGGCAGCCUUGAACAUACCAGGAAGCAAUAGGAAAAAACUGGAGAAAGUGAAAAGGCUGCGAUGAAGGAAAAGAGGAGACAAACAAGGGUGACAUUGGCUGGGCAGCAAAGAUGACCAAAAGGCCAAGAAGCCUGUGCUGUUCCAGUAUUGAUCCGGUGCUCCUCCGUCACCAUCCGACCACAGAACCUCAGGCUGAUAGUUGUUCACUAACUCAUAGAGCUCUGGCAAUGUCUUAGAAACUGGAAAUUGCCGCUUAUGGAAUGAACUGGAUUCAUCCUCAAGGAAGAGCGGAUGAAACCAUUCAAAAAGGGAAUAGUACAGUCCAAAACGCAGGUUCUGGCUCUGUCACCCAGGCUGGAGUUCAGUGGUGCGAACUUCGCUCACUGCAUCCUCGACCUCCUGGGCUCAAGUGAUGCUCCCACCUCAGCCUACCAAGUAGCUAGGACUACAGCUUGGGAAAGUUCCUAGACAUCAGGAAAUCAGCAUGUUCUCAAGCAAAUACACUUG